rnacentral:rRNA from 1 species
GGGAAGCUAUGUGGUGACACAGUGCUGAUCUCUAAAAGCCGUCUCAGUUCGGAUUGCACUCUGCAACUCGAGUGCAUGAAGGUGGAAUCGCUAGUAAUCGCGGAUCAGCAUGCCGCGGUGAAUACGUUCCCGGGCCUUGUACACACCGCCCGUCACACCAUGGGAGUUGGUUUGACCUUAAGCCGGUGAGCGAACCGCAAGGACGCAGCCGACCACGG